rnacentral:rRNA from 1 species
AAUAAACGUUGGCGGCGUGCUUAACACAUGCAAGUCGAGCGAGAAAGGUCUUCGGACUGAGUACAGCGGCAAACGGGUGAGUAACACGUGGGAAUCUACCUUUUAGUGAAGAAUACCCUCGAGAAAUCGAGGUUAAUACUGCAUACGUCUCGAAAGAGAGAAAGAUGGCCUCUCUGCUGUCGCUGAAAGAUGAGCCUGCGUACUAUUAGCUAGUUGGUAGGGUAAAGGCCUACCAAGGCUAUGAUGGUUAGCCGGCCUGAGAGGGUGUACGGCCACACUGGAACUUAGACACGGUCCAGACUCCUACGGGAGGCAGCAGUGAGGAAUAUUGCGCAAUGGGCGAAAGCCUGACGCAGCGACGCCGCGUGGAGGAUGAAGGUCUUAGGAUUGUAAACUUCUGUUAAGCGGGAAGAAGACGAAGUAUUAAUACCACUUUAUGAUGACGGUACCGCUAAAGAAGCACCGGCUAACUUACGUGCCAGCAGCCGCGGUAA